AUGGAUGGUGGGAUCUUGACUGGUGUAAUGAUGCCAUACAUAUAGCAGCCAGAAACCAAACAAAAUGGUGGUAUGCAAAGCGCUUUUUGCAACCAGCAGUCGUGUCCAUUUAUGAUUACAUAUUUCUUUGGGAUGAAGAUUUGGGGGUUGAUCAUUUUAGCCCGAGAAGGUACCUGGAAAUUGUGAAUUCUGAAGGACUGGAAAUAUCUCAGCCUGCCUUGGAUCCAAAUUCAACUGAUAUUCAUCAUAGAAUUACCAUUCGUGCACGAACAAAGAAGAUACACAGAAGAGUUUAUGAUCACAGAGGCAGUGUGAAAUGUUCAGAUGAAAGUGGGGAGCCACCUUGCACUGGAUUUGUCGAAGGUAUGGCCCCUGUAUUCUCGAGAUCAGCUUGGUAUUGUACUUGGCAUCUUAUACAGAAU
rnacentral:misc_RNA from 1 species